rnacentral:misc_RNA from 1 species
UACGGAGGGGGCAAGCGUUGUUCGGAAUUACUGGGCGUAAAGCGCACGCAGGCUGUCUGUCAAGUCGGAUGUGAAAUCCCCGGGCUCAACCUGGGAACUGCAUCCGAAACUGGCAGGCUAGAGUCUUGUAGAGGGCGGUAGAAUUCAAGGUGUAGCGGUGAAAUGCGUAGAGAUCUGGAGGAAGACCGGUGGCGAAGGCGGCACCCUGGACAAAGACUGACGCUCAGGUGCGAAAGCGUGGGGAGCAAACAGG